rnacentral:rRNA from 1 species
GAGUUUGAUCCUGGCUCAGAUUGAACGCUGGCGGCAGGCCUAACACAUGCAAGUCGAACGGUAACAGGAAGAAGCUUGCUUCUUUGCUGACGAGUGGCGGACGGGUGAGUAAUGCCUGGGAAACUGCCUGAUGGAGGGGGAUAACUACUGGAAACGGUAGCUAAUACCGCAUAACGUCGCAAGACCAAAGAGGGGGACCUUCGGGCCUCUUGCCAUCGGAUGUGCCCAGAUGGGAUUAGCUAGUAGGUGGGGUAACGGCUCACCUAGGCGACGAUCCCUAGCUGGUCUGAGAGGAUGACCAGCCACACUGGAACUGAGACACGGUCCAGACUCCUACGGGAGGCAGCAGUGGGGAAUAUUGCACAAUGGGCGCAAGCCUGAUGCAGCCAUGCCGCGUGUAUGAAGAAGGCCUUCGGGUUGUAAAGUACUUUCAGCGGGGAGGAAGGGAGUAAAGUUAAUACCUUUGCUCAUUGACGUUACCCGCAGAAGAAGCACCGGCUAACUCCGUGCCAGCAGCCGC